rnacentral:rRNA from 1 species
UGGGGAAUUUUGGACAAUGGGCGAAAGCCUGAUCCAGCAAUGCCGCGUGUGCGAAGAAGGCCUUCGGGUUGUAAAGCACUUUUGUCCGGAAAGAAAUCCGCCUGGCUAAUACCCGGGCGGGAUGACGGUACCGGAAGAAUAAGCACCGGCUAACUACGUGCCAGCAGCCGCGGUAAUACGUAGGGUACGAGCGUUAAUCGGAAUUACUGGGCGUAAAGCGUGCGCAGGCGGCUUUGUAAGACAGAUGUGAAAUCCCCGGGCUCAACCUGGGAACUGCAUUUGUGACUGCAAGGCUAGAGUGCGUCAGAGGGAGGUGGAAUUCCGCGUGUAGCAGUGAAAUGCGUAGAGAUGCGGAGGAACACCGAUGGCGAAGGCAGCCUCCUGGGAUGACACUGACGCUCAUGCACGAAAGCGUGGGGAGCAAACA